UACGGGGGGGGCAAGCGUUGUUCGGAAUUACUGGGCGUAAAGGGCUUGUAGGUGGCCAACUAAGUCAGACGUGAAAUCCCUCGGCUUAACCGGGGAACUGCGUCUGAUACUGGAUGGCUAGAGGUUGGGAGAGGGAUGCGGAAUUCCAGGUGUAGCGGUGAAAUGCGUAGAUAUCUGGAGGAACACCGGUGGCGAAGGCGGCAUCCUGGACCAAUUCUGACGCUGAGGAGCGAAAGCCAGGGGAGCAAACGGG
rnacentral:rRNA from 1 species